GACGAACGCUGGCGGCGUGCUUAACACAUGCAAGUCGAACGGAAAGGCCCUGCUUUUGUGGGGUGCUCGAGUGGCGAACGGGUGAGUAACACGUGAGUAACCUGCCCUUGACUUUGGGAUAACUUCAGGAAACUGGGGCUAAUACCGGAUAGGAGCUCCUGCUGCAUGGUGGGGGUUGGAAAGUUUCGGCGGUUGGGGAUGGGCUCGCGGCUUAUCAGCUUGUUGGUGGGGUAGUGGCUUACCAAGGCUUUGACGGGUAGCCGGCCUGAGAGGGUGACCGGGCAAAAUGGGACUGAGAUACGGCCCAGACUCCUACGGGAGGCAGCAGUGGGGAAUAUUGCACAAUGGGCGGAAGCCUGAUGCAGCAACGCCGCGUGCGGGAUGACGGCCUUCGGGUUGUAAACCGCUUUCGCCUGUGACGAAGCGUGAGUGACGGUAAUGGGUAAAGAAGCACCGGCUAACUACGUG
rnacentral:rRNA from 1 species